rnacentral:misc_RNA from 1 species
GAUGAAGAACGCAGCGAAAUGCGAUAAGUAGUGUGAAUUGCAGAAUUCAGUGAAUCAUCGAAUCUUUGAACGCACAUUGCGCCCUUUGGUAUUCCUUAGGGCAUGCCUGUUCGAGCGUCAUUUACACCCUCAAGCCUAGCUUGGUGUUGGGCGUCUGUCCCGCCGUUUUCGCGCGCGGACUCGCCUCAAAGUCAUUGGCGGCGGUCGUGCCGGCCCCCUCGCGCAGCACAUUUGCGCUUCUCGGAGGCCCGGCGGAUCCGCGCUCCAGCAAGACCUUUCACGACUUGACCUCGGAUCAGGUAGGGAUACCCGCUGAACUUAAGCAUAUCAAUAAGCGGAGGA